CCACCUUUCCUUUCCUUUCCUUAGAAUUUAGCUGCUUCUUUUAUUCCAUUUUUUCAAUAUUAUAGAUUUGAAUUUUAAUCUUUCUCUGCAAGAACCCACCUAAAGUUUGGAAUCUCUGAUUAGUUUUGGCCUUUAACGAAGAUCAAAAUAUAAUCAACCUGGGAUUUUAAUAUUCUUAAUUUCCCAUUGGCCCAAAUCAUUUCUGUUUGUUGUGAUGUUGAUAUUUCUAUAUGAGCAUCCCCUAUUAUACUAAUGAGAACUUCCUCUUAAACUUCUCUUCAAAGUAGUCUAAUGGCAUUUUAGGCUCUCUGUUGGGUCUUCAAGUUUUAAAAAAUGUGUGAACUCAAGGAUAUCUGUGUAUGUUUGACGGUGCAUUGGAGCAUUUGAGUUCUACUUUUCUCCCAGUCUGCUCUUGUUAUGAAUUAUUUGAAAGCAGUUUUCUUCUGGGUUUAAUAUGUCUCAGCUUUCCUAAAGUUUCAUUUGCUAUUGUGAAAUUGUAUUAUCAAAAUAUCCGUGAUUUUUUUUGUUUUUCUUAUCAAUUUUUUCUUCCUUUCCUUCCUUAAUUAUUCACAAUUUUUCGUUCUUUUCCCAUCUGGAAAAUCAUUGCCAAUAUAUACGUACUCAUGAUUAAUCAUAGAUUCUUUUAAGAAAAUUCCAUUUCUUGCUCUAUUCUAGCUAUUCUUUUGUGGGUAAUCUGUCUUCAUUUCUUCUUUCCCUGUGAUAAUCAGAAAAUAAUUCUAUCUACUAUACCUGAGCAUCAAAUAUAGUAAGUGCACAAUCAGAGAAGUAGAAGUGACAAAUUAAAUGAGUUUUGUAAAAGGAUCCUCCCAGAAUACUUGGCAUCCUGCCAUGACUGCUAAUACAACCCUGGCCAGUUACUGGCUAAACUGGAGGCUCCUCCUUUGCACCAUUUGGGUCUUAAUCUCAAUAACUAUUGCAUCCAUCCUUAUGUGGAAAUAUGAAAACUUUCACAAAGCCGAACGGGGUAGUGGAGACAACAAGCAAGAAACAGAAGCAGAUUUGUAUGAUGAUGAAACUUGGCGACCCUGCCUAAAGGGAAUCCACGCUGCCUGGUUGCUAGUUUUCAGAGUUUUUGCUUUCUUUGUGCUUUUGGUGCUGCUGAGUGUUGUUGCUUUAGUGGAUGGGGGCAGCAUAUUUUACUACUAUACUCAGUGGACAUUUACUUUAGUCACCAUUUACUUUAUGCUUGGAUCAUUUCUGUCCGUGCGCGGAUGUUACCUAUAUCACAGAAGAGUUUGUCGAGAUAAGGUUGAUAGCGUAGAGGUAGAUUCAGAGCAAGGAAACUGUGCUACUCCUGCACCUGGAGAAAGGUCCAAUACUUCCAUAGAAAAGAGAAGCUCAAACUCAAAUGAACAACUUGACAGGAGGCAACCGGCAGGGAAAUGGGCUUUUCUCUUUCAAAUAGUUUUCCAGAUGAAUGCAGGGGCUGUUAUGCUCACAGAUUGUGUAUUUUGGUUUGUAAUUGUUCCAUUCCUUGCAAUCAAGGAUUACCAUCUAACUGCUUUGGUUAUAAGUAUGCAUUCGAUGAAUGCCAUUUUCUUACUCUGUGAUACUGCCUUAAAUUGCAUGCGGUUUCCUUGGUUUCGAAUUGCAUAUUUCUUCAUAUGGACAGUAAUAUAUGUUUUAUUCCAGUGGAUUGUCCAUGCAUUUUUCAGAAUAUGGUGGCCAUAUCCAUUCCUUGACUUGUCAUCUCCAUAUGCCCCUUUAUGGUACUUCUCUGUGGGUGUGAUGCACAUCCCAUGCUAUGGUAUUUUCGCUUUUAUUAUAAAGCUGAAACACACUCUGUUCUCAAGAUGGUUCCCUGAUUCCUAUCAAUGUCCAAGGUAGCUGAAUUUGCGAGCUUGGAGACCUAAACCAGUUUCAAAAUGUUGAAGAAAAUGUGGAUUAUCAGCAUAUAUAGAGAGUAGCAAAAAGAGAAUAGAGGAAGACAGAAGACCAGAGAUUCUGAUUCAGGGAAAGCAAAAUACCAUGACAUUCGGGGCUUUUGGAUGAAGAUCAUCAUCAACUGCCCUUUUAUGACAUUUUUUUCCUCCAUUCUUUUCUUGCUUGCUAGCUGCUUUUAUGUCAUGUCAUGCCAGGACCCAUCAGCCAUAAAAGGAAAGUUGCCUCGUUGCUUAGGAAAUUGAACUAGUUUCCUCCUAUUUCUCUCCAACUAUUUCUCUUGAAUUGAUCAACUAUUCUUUAGAAAAAAUAAAACUUUUUGAGCUACCUCUCUUUGUUGAUAAUCAUAUUCAUACGCACUUCAUUUUCAUUGGAAUCACCAUCACAAGAAAUUUGUAGGUGGGGGCAAUAUAGAGUUAGUUGGACUUUUCCACCUUGUAAAUUUAAAGUUUUUUUUUUUUCCAAUGAGUAAAAUAUGUAUUUAGAAGAAACAAGUGGGCCAAAAUCAAUAGUUAAUUUUAUGCUUAUUUUUAUUUA